CCACCAAGAGCAGCAGCAGUGAAGUA
rnacentral:misc_RNA from 1 species